rnacentral:misc_RNA from 1 species
GAUUUAUCCAUCCACCUAACUAAAGAAAAGAAAAGCUUCGUUUCAGUGUGCUUAUCUAAUGGUUUAAGAGGUCAAGAUUCAACCAAUGAGGAACUCUUCUGCAGGGAUGUAAAGUAUGGAGUUUGAGUUGAUUCAAUCAAUGAGCAGAGAGUUACGUAAUGUCUCGUUCGAAUAUCAAUCCAAGUCCGAUUCAGAUUCAAACUCUGCGCCUAACUGAAGAAAAGAAAAGCUUCAUUGUUUUUUAAAUGUUCCCUUUCCUUUCAUAGUAGGAUCGUGUGGAGGCCUCAGGUAGCUCUAUUUAUAUGUGGAGGUUUGUUUGUUUGUUUGUUUUAGUGGAAAUCCAGAAAAGAGGGAAACCUAUAUUUGUGUGGUAGCAUUUGUUAACUAGUUUAGGGUUUUUAAAUUGUGGAACAACAUCCAUGCAUGUGACUCUAUCAAUUGCUUAGCAAGGGGAGAUAGUAUGUUAGGGCAAUCAAAGAAUAUUCCUCUGUACUGAUCAGAAAUGAAGAACAUGUUGAUGAGAUAUGUACACGUAAUGAAUGUGAUUUAUGUGAGCCCUGUAAAAGCAGAAACUUAUGUGAGUUUCCC